rnacentral:rRNA from 1 species
UACGUAGGGUGCGAGCGUUGUCCGGAAUUAUUGGGCGUAAAGGGCUCGUAGGCGGUCUGUUGCGUCGGGAGUGAAAACUCAGGGCUUAACCCUGAGCCUGCUUCCGAUACGGGCAGACUAGAGGUAUGCAGGGGAGAACGGAAUCCUGGUGUAGCGGUGAAAUGCGCAGAUAUCAGGAGGAACACCGGUGGCGAAGGCGGUUCUCUGGGCAUUACCUGACGCUGAGGAGCGAAAGUGUGGGGAGCGAACAGG